rfam:Gossypium arboreum cultivar AKA8401 contig_74472_1, whole genome shotgun sequence.
AGUAUUGAGAGGAUCUUUCCCUAGUACGAGAGGAUCGGGAAGGACGCACCUCUGGUGUACCAGUUAUCAUGCCCACGGUAAACGUUGAGUAGCCAAGUGCAGAGCAGAUAACUGUUGAAAGCAUCUAAGUAGUAAGCUCACCCCAAGAUGAAUGCU